GGAGGGGUGUCCGAGCGGUUUAAGGAACCGGUCUUGAAAACCGGCGUUUCCGAAAGGAACCAUGGGUUCGAAUCCCAUCCCCUCCGCCA
rnacentral:tRNA from 1 species